GGAAUAUUGGUCAAUGGGCGCAAGCCUGAACCAGCCAUGCCGCGUGCAGGAUGACGGUCCUAUGGAUUGUACACUGCUUUUGUACGAGAAGAAACACUACUUCGUGAAGUAGCUUGACGGUAUCGUAAGAAUAAGAAUCGGCUAACUCCGUGCCAGCAGCCGCGGUAAUACGGAGGAUCCAAGCGUUAUCCGGCAUCAUUGGGUUUACAGGGUCCGUAGGCGGUCUUAUAAGUCAGUGGUGAAAUCUACCCGCUCAACGGGGAAACUUCCAUUGAUACUGUAGGACUUGAAUAAUUAGGAAGUAACUAGAAUAUGUAGUGUAGCUGUGAAAUGCUUAGAGAGUACAUGGAAUACCAAUUGCGAAGGCAGGUUACUACUAAUUCAUUGACGCUGAUGGACGAAAGCGUGGGUAGCGAAC
rnacentral:rRNA from 1 species